AGUGAACGCUGGCGGCAGGCCUAACACAUGCAAGUCGAGCGGCAGCGCGGGGGCAACCCUGGCGGCGAGCGGCGGACGGGUGAGGAAUGCAUCGGAAUCUACCUCGUUGUGGGGGAUAACCUCGGGAAACCGGGACUAAUACCGCAUACGACCUACGGGUGAAAGUGGGGGACCUUCGGGCCUCACGCGAUGAGAUGAGCCGAUGCCGGAUUAGCUAGUUGGCGGGGUAAAGGCCCACCAAGGCGACGAUCCGUAGCUGGUCUGAGAGGAUGAUCAGCCACACUGGAACUGAGACACGGUCCAGACUCCUACGGGAGGCAGCAGUGGGGAAUAUUGGACAAUGGGGGCAACCCUGAUCCAGCCAUGCCGCGUGUGUGAAGAAGGCCUUCGGGUUGUAAACCCUUUCGUGCGGAAAGAAUAGUCCUGUAGCGAAUAACUACGGGAUUUGACGGUACCGCAGGAGAAGCACCGGCUAACUCCGUGCCAGCAGCCGCGGUAAAGUGU
rnacentral:rRNA from 1 species